AUCCUUCUUUUUUCUCAUGUUUAAUUGAUGUCUCCUUAAAUUAAGUUUAGGACUAAAUCAAUUUCUCAUUUAAAAGAAAGUUGGCGGCAAUAUCUCAGGAUUAUAAAUCAUUUCAAGUAAAACAACAAAGAAUAGAAAAAUAAAUUAUGCAUAUGUAAACAAGUCAAAUUUAAAAUGAUCCAAAGGAAAAAUUAAACAUGUAGCUAAGACAUUCAAAACAUCUUCCAAACUUUGAAUCAAUAUAUCAAAUAAACCAAAUUCCAAACCCAAUAAUUUUUUCUACUAUUGAACCUUUUCCGUUUUCAAAAGCAAAGGGAAUUAUUACUUAAUUUUAAAUUUUAGUCAAUUACUAUGGCCCAAAUGAGAAGAUUACAAAUAAAAUCGACCUAAACCAUAAACAUAUAACUAAAAAGAUAAUAAUAAAGAGAUAUAAUCAUACAAAUUAAUGGUAAUAGCAUUAAAUGCAAAAUCUUUUUUUUUUUAUGUCCCCAAGAAUAUACUUUAGUGACUAAGAAUAUAAUUCAAAAUAACCCAUGUUUUUUAAUUGAAUAAAAAUUAGGAUAAAAAUUGACCCUUUAUUGAUUAAAUUGAACUUAAAUUACAAAGUUGAGGGGUUGCAUGACUUUUUUUCUUUUUUACUUUUCCUGAGUUUUUCCUUUUUCUCUGUAUCUCUAUGUUUCUAUCUUUUUGCAUGUAUUGUGUUUAUAGAAAAAUGCUUUAUGCGUAUUUAAUAUGUUUCUCUAAUUCUUUUGUCUCUAAUCUUAAAAAUAAUACAGUAUAUUAAAUAUUAAGAUCAGUGAGACAUUAUCAUCGGUAGAUAUAGAUCCACAACACGUUAAAGAUAUAAAACUCAACUGAAACUUCAUUUCAAAAUAAUCCGAAAAUAAAACUAGUACAAUUAAUAUUUUGAAAUACCAAGUCCACGCAUAACGUAGAAGUACUCGGAUAACUAAACAUGCAACUCGUGACGAUAAAAAAUAAACUCACACAAGCAAUCAGUCCGGCCUACUAAAUAAUACACAAACUCAUUUAAUAACACAAUUCAUGCUCUGUUUACAAUAAGAACUUAUAAAACUAGUACAAGAUCGGAAAAGAACCUGUGUAACAAACUAGAUUGAAUAUUGAGACAAAAAUAUUGUCACCGAAAACUCGAAAUGGAGGCGAAACUCGAACUCUAACUCACCCUUGUUUCUUUGUUUCUGCCUUUUCUUUGAUUUUUUUUUCUUUCAAAGUUUCUAAGUGUUCCCUUUUUCUGCCUUUUGUCUGAACCUUUUUUUUUCUCUGUGUCUGUCCGUGUG
rnacentral:lncRNA from 1 species